CGUCCGUCAGGUUUCCGCGGUGGGGACAAGGACCCCGCGCGUCUGCCUGCCUGGGACGACUCCGGCUUGGCUAGGCCGGGAUCCCCGCUGCCACCGCUCUGGGUUAGGAAUUAACUCUACGAAGAGCUCGGUGCGGGAUGCGGACCGGUAAAGUGGAAGCACCGGCGAUCCGGAAGUGGCGCUGCAGGGACACGGCGAUGGCCGGGACGUGACCCAAUACUGCCCAAGAGGCUUAGUAGUCGGAGGCGGCAGGAACGCAGGGUGCCGUGGAGGCGGGAGAAGUAGCCUUCGUUCUUCAAGCCCAGAAAAUUGAGAAACGGUUGUUUUCCGUGGCUACUGGAAGAACUGGAAAGAGGAACUGGGAUUCGGUAGGGUGGAGGUCAAAGACAGGUGGGAGGAGCUAAGAAAGGCGGAAGAUUUAAAUUUACUGCUGAAGUUUUUUUGCAAGGCCGGGAAAGUGGACGUGGGUACACAGUUGAGAUCAGGGGUGAACAGCUUAAAAGAGUGAGCUUAAACCAUACUGUACAUAAUCUCGUUCUCAAAGCAGAGGUGAAAUAGCCCCUAGUUAGUGUGCAUAGGGUGCAUGGAAUGGAGAGGACUGGCCUACCGUCUAAUAUGGAGGUCCCCAAAAAGCUGAGAGAAUGUGAAAAUAAGAGUCCUGAGCCAAAAGUGAAAUAAGUGGUAAGGACAGUGUGGAUUAUGUUACGAUGAAAUAGAUGUAUAGAUGUUAGUAGUGGUAACUUGUGGGCUAACAGCAAUAACUCAAACAUCUACCUUAGAAGAUAAUAGACUGAGUGGAUAGAAAUAGCAUGGGAUAUGCUGCCUUUUUUUUUUUUUUAAACCAGCCUCUCUUAAUUUUAGGUAACUUUUGAAGAAAACAUAGUGUCUUGAAAAUAGUUUUCCUUUAUAGGUUAUUCAAUGCCCACUCAUAAAACUUUUGAAAUUAAAAAAAAAUACUAUUUCUUGAGAGAAUUGGAGAUUGCUAUAGAAAAUGGUAUUCGUGAGACUGCCAAAGUUCAUUUUAAUAGUGAAAAUAAUGAAUUAGAUUUCGCAGGCAGAAAAAACAGCAAGCAAUUGCUAAUUCACAGCAGCUGCUUCCUCAAAAGCCUUAAUAAAUGACCAUGUAAUGUGAAUGUUAUGAAAGCCUAAUUAGCAAAAUAAACAUUUUUCUUGUUACCCAAAAUACUUGAACAGCAACUAGGUUGAAUCCAUGGCUGAGAAGUUUUAAUAUUAAAAUUCCCAUAAAUCUAUACAUGUGUGACAAUCUAAUAAAACACUAUCAGGAUGUUACUCAGAUGCUUAAAAUAAUAUAUAGAGUGCUAAACAUGAAGUUUUUCUUUUAUAUCCAGAAAAAAGGUGCCAAAUCCCUAGCCUAAAAACAUUAUCUGGAUACAAUUUGUUUGUUUACUAAAAGUUAAUCAUUUUCAACCCAUGAGUGUUGUUCUAUAAUCAAAGUAAGUUUAAUUCAUUUGUAUUAUUAUUGUUUGUCAAAUGAGUAGGCUUCUCCAAAGAUCCUCUGUUCUCACAUCUUUUUUAAGAUUUAUUUAUUUAUUAUAUGUAAGUACACUGUAGCUAUCUUCAGACACCCCUGAAGAGGGCAGCAGGUCUCACAUGGUGGCUCACAAGCAUCCGUAACAAGAUCUGACACCCUCUUCUGGAGUGUCUGAAAACAGCUACAAUGUACUUGCAUAUAAUAAACAUAUCUUUAAAAAAAAUGGGGUACAGAGCUAAACAAAGAAUUCUCAACUCAGGAAUACCAAAGGGCUGAGAAGCACCUGAAAAAAAUGUUCAACAUCCUUAAUCAUCAGGGAAAUGCAAAUCAAAACAACCCUGAGAUUUCUACUCACACUAGUCAGAAUAGCUAAGAUCAAAAAUUCAGGUGACAGCAGAUGAUGCUGGCAAGGAUAUGGAGAGAGAGGAACACUCCUCCAUUGUUGGUGGGAUUUCAAGCUUGUACACCACUCUGGAAAUCAGUCUGGUGGUUCCUCAGAAAAUUGGACAUAGUACUACAGGAAGACCCAGCAAUACCUCUCCUGGGCAUAUACCCAGAAGAUGUUCCAACUUGUAAUAAGGACACAUGUUCCACUAGGUUCGUAGCAGCCUUAUUUAUAAUAGCCAGAAGCUGGAAAGAACCCAGAUGUCCCUUAACAGAGGAAUGGAUAGAGAAAAUGAGGUACAUUUUCACAAUGGAGUACUACUCAGCUAUUAGAAACAAUGAAUUUAUGAAAUUCAUAGGCAACUGGAUGGAUCUGGAGGAUAUCAUCCUGAGUGAGGUAACCCAAUCACAAAAGAACACACAUCAUAUUCACUCACUGAUAAGUAGAUAUUAGCCCAGAAACUUAGGAUACCCAAGAUGCAAUUUGCAAAACACAUGAAACUCAAGAAGAAGAAAGACUAAAAUGUGGAUACUUCGUUCCUCCUUAGAAUGGGGAACAAAAUACCCAUGGAAGGAGUUACAGACACAAAGUUUGGAGCUGAGAUGGAAGGAAGGACUACCCAGAGACUGCCCCACCCGGGGAUCCAUCCUAUAAUCAGCCACCAAACCUAGACGCUAUUGCAUAUGCCAGCAAGAUUUUGCCAACAGGACCCUGAUAUAGUUGUGUCUUGUGAGGCUAUGCCAGUGUCUGGCAAAUACAGAAGUGGAUGCUCACAGUCAUCUAUUGGAUGGAACACAGGGUCCCCAAUGGAGGAGCUAGAGAAAGUACCCAAGGAACUGAAGGGAUCUUCAACCCUAUAGGAGAAACAACAAUAUGAACUAAUCAGUAACCCCAGAGCUCAUGUCUCUAGCUGUAUAUGUAGCAGAAGAUGGCCUAGUAGGCCAUCAUUGGGAGGAGAGGCCCUUGGUCUUGCAAAGAUUAUAUGUCCCAGUACAGGGGAACACCAAGGCCAGGAAGCAGGAGUGGGUGGGUUGGGGAGCAGGGCAGGGGGAGGGUAUAGAAAUUUGAUAGCAUUUGAAAUGUAAAUGAAGAAAAUAUCUAAUAAAAAAUGUUUUUUAAAAGAUAA
rnacentral:lncRNA from 1 species